rnacentral:lncRNA from 1 species
UACACUUUGGGUUGUAUAUCCAAUUUAUUCUAUUGUGGUACUAUUUAUUUGUUUUAUUCACAUACAAAAGCUUUCUAUUAUAAAUCUAUAUUAAUUUAUUUACGGAUUUAAUUACAACGUGAAAACUUAACACUUUCCAAAUAACAUGUUUAUUUUAUCUUAUUUUAUUUUAUCUUAAAUAUUUUGGAUAUAAACUUAAACUCAUGUGUACCUACAUAUUAACUAUAAGAAUUAGCAUUUUCUAUGCAAAUAACUUUCAAUUAUAUGAGCAACAAAUUGUCAAUGCACGGGUAGUAUAAUUAAUUAUUAUAUAUAAGAAUUUAUUUUCAUUAAUAUAAUUGACAAAUAAGUUUAAAUAUAAAAAUUUUGUAGAAAAUAUUCAUUCUCUUAAGUUAAAGUUAAAUUUUCCUAUUUGAUUACGGAUAAAAAAAAUCUGAUUUGAUUUCAUAAAAAGAUGUUUAUCUCUUGAGUUUUAUUUAUACAUAAUUUUUAUACUGGUAAAUUUACAUAUAGAUAUCAAUAUAUAAUUAAAUUAUAUUUACAUAGGUAUAGAAAAAGUUUCAAUAUUUUAUGAAAAUGAAAAGAUGAUAAAUAAUAAAUAAUAAUUUCUAAGUAAUUACUUUAAAACUAUUAGAACAAUAAAUUAAAAAAAUACUAAAAUUAUAAUAAAGCAAAGAAAAUUUCUAAGUAAUUCAACUAUUAAUAUAAUUCAAGGCAAGCUUUUCAUCCUAUAAAUUAAGUAUUUUUGUUUGUUCGUUCAUCCCUGUUAUAAAUUAAGUGUUUGUUUUUGUUCUUUUAUGAAAAAUGUUAAUCACAAUUUGUUAUAUUUUAUUUAUACUUCUUAUGUUAGAAAGAAUAAUGUGUUCCAUGGAUAAAUUAAGUUAUAGAAGUUUGAGUAGAAAAAAAAUGUAUAUCCAGUAAAAAAAAUAUUAAAAUAAAUUUAAAAAGAUAAUUUCAUUUUAAUAAUGAAUUUUGAAUUAAUAAUUAUUAUUACAGGGAAUCCUCUAAAGUGCACUUCUCACUGUAAAGAAGACAAAUCCAUAAUAGAAAACUUAAAUUUAUAAGAGAAAAGUCAAAUCUUUAAUAAGUUACAUAAGUCAAAGAUAACAAAUAAAGAAUGAACCCAUAAAAAUAAAAAUAAGAAUGUAUAAGAUUUUUUUUAAAAUCAAUUUUAAAUGUUAAUUUUAUCACUAAAGAAGUCUAAUUUAAUUGGUUGAAUGAAAUAUGUGGUCUAACUUAACUGGUUGAACCAAGUGUCUGAUUGUUGUAAACUUCUUGAUACAUGUUUUUGACUGUUAUGAAUAAAAUUAUUGAUUUUACUCAUACUUUCUAUGUUAGAUAAAACAAAACAUUCAAUAAAUUAUUAAGUUAAAUGAUAGUAGUUAUGGAAAAAGAAAAUUUAUUUAUAUAUAAAUUCUAUAUUAAUAAUUUUACCCAUAGAUAUCAAUAUAUAAAUAUACUUAAAUUUACAUAAGUAAAGAAAAAGCUUUAAUAUUUUUACUAAGUAAUUCAAAUAUUAAUAUAAUUUUAGGUAAAAUAUUCAUCCUAUAAAUUAAGUAUUUCUUUGUUUUCUUUCAUAGAAAAUGUUCAUCUUCAUUCAUCAUAUUUUAUUUAUAUUUCACAUGUUAGAAAGAAUAGAACGUUCAAUAAAUAAGUUAAGUUUAAAAAAUACUAAGAUGAAUGAAUGUUAAAAUAUUUUAAGGUAGUUAUGGAAAAAGAACGUUCAAUAAAUUUUCUAAGUAAUUCAAAUAUUAAAAUAUUUUAAGGUAAUUUAUUCUACCUAUAAAUUAAGUGUUUCUUAUCGUUCUUUUCACGAAAAAUGUUUAUCCCCGUUUGUUAUAAAUUAAGUGUUUAUUUUCGUUUUUCAUGGAAAAUGUUCUUCCCUGUUUGUUAUAUUUUAUUUAAAAUUUACAUGUUAAAUACUAAAAUUAAGUUUUAAAAAUACUAAAAUUAUAAUAAAUAAUAAUUUUUCCUAAGUAAUUCAAACAUCAACACAAAUUAAUUAUUCAUCCUAUAAAUUAAGUGUUUCUUUUCGUUCUUUCUCGUAAAUGUCCAUUCCCAUUUGUUAUAAGUUAAGUAUUUAUUUUUUAUUCUUUUAUAGAAAAUGUCCGUCCCCAUUUGUUAUAUUUUAUUUAUAUUUCAUAUGUUAGAAAGAAUAAAACUUUCAAUAAAUAAGUUAAGUUUAAAAAAAAUUAUAAUAAAGCAUAAUUUUUCCUAAGUAAUAUAAAUAUUAACAUAAAUCAAGGUGAAUUAUUCAUCCUAUAAAUUAAGUGUUUUUUUUUAUCAUUUCAUAAAAAAGGUUCAUCCCUGUAUGUUGUAUUUUAUUUAUACUUCAGAUGUUAGAGAAAAUAAAGCUUUCAAUAAAUAAAUUAAGUUAUAGGAGAAUAUAUAUAUAUAUAUAUAUAUAUAUAUAUAUAUAUAUAUAUAUAUUUCUUUAUAUAUAUAUAUAAAUAUUAAUAUUUAGUUUCUUUAUGUACAGUGCUCAUCCCCUAAAUGUAAAUAUUUAUUGAUAUUGAUAUGUUGAUAUAAUUAAAAUAUUAAUUUAUUAAAUAUUUUUAUGUAAAAAUUUCAUGAACUUUUGUCAUUAAAAUGUUUGAAUGCAACUAUUUUUUGCUUAACAAACUAAUUCUAUCCCUAAUACUUUUUUAAUAUGGAUUAUUCAUUUAAAGAUUAACUGAAAUAAAAUUAUUAUCUUCACUCAUCUUUACAUAUAAAUAAUAACUAAGUAAGCAAAUAAUUAAUAUAAAUAAAUAAAUAAGUAAUUAAAUAAGUAAAUAAAUUAUAACACUAAAAAAAACAUGUUUUUGAUCGUCAAAAUCAGUCAAAAACCUAAAAAAUCCGUUGAUAAUUGAACUGUCGAAAAAAUGAUCGUAAAAACUUUUAACCAAUAGAUUUUUGCUGUUCGUUCAAAAUUUUCGACGAAUCUUUUUCAUGAGAAAUUUCUGACACAUUUUGUGGAAAAUUUCUGACGGAAAUAUAUUUCCAUCAGAAAAUCAAUCGGAAACACUAUUUUAUAAAUAAUUGUAUAUUUCUUUCAUAUUUAAUGUUAUAUUCAUAAUAACUUAUUUACAGGCAUAUUUUAAAGUGAUUUUUUUAAAAUAACACAAAAAUCCCAUCUAUUCACUACCAGUAUAAUGAUGCAACUAUGGAAUGGAAUAAUCAUUUUCACAGUUGGCAGUAAAUGGAUAUUUUUUUGUUUUAUAGAAAUACAAAUAUCAAAGAAUUUUUUUAACAACACUUAAGUUAGAUCCGUCUUUAAGGCAUAGAUUAAGAGUAAUCUUGAUAACUAAUAUACUAACUAAGAGUAAGGGUAAUUGCUACUACAAAAAAGAGAGAAAUGGUAUAUACUUGUAUAACAUGUUAUACAACAAAGUGUACAAUCAAAAAGAGAGAAAAGAUAAAGAAAUUUAAAUUUGAAAUGUAAGGUGAGAGAAAGAGAUAGACAUAAAAUAAAUUUGUAUAAAUUGUUGUAUCUGUAUCAUAAAUCAAUUUACUCAUCAAAUUAUUAAUUAUUAUUAUGUUAUUUUAGAAAAAAAAGAGCCAGAGAAGACAUACAACUAACUAACGAAUAAAAAGGAUGGGUGAUCAUCAGCCAGCAAAUGAAAUAAAAGAAAAUUUGGGGAACAUUAAACUAUAUAUAUUGCAACCCCAAUCCAAAUUAACCCAUCCCAUGUUUUGCCAAAACAUCUGCUAGGAAAUUUGUCUCCCUGAAUAUAUUAUGCCAAGAAAGGCUAUCUGUAUUGGCUUAAUUAAAGCACAAUUAGAUUUCGUUAAUCAGAGAACUAGCUGGAUGCAAGUUAGAGCAUCUACCAAGAAUUUUAUUUAUUUAAAGAUGAUUUAAACUUUCUAUUGAAAAAAGAUGAUUUAAAUUAUCAUAUUUGACCUUAUGAAAAAUUAAAAUAAUUAAUGCAUGAUAUAACAAAAAUAUUGAAAGAAUUAUAUUGAGACAAUUAACACUUUAAUUAACAUGAAUUUUCAAUGAAUAACUUAGGGGUUUUGCUUGUAUAUUAAUGAACAUAUUGCGUAUAUCUUGAAAAUUUUAAUUGUAACUGAUAUUUUAUUAAGAUGAUAAACCAAAGUUAAAUAUAUGAAAUUUAUUAGGAAGGUCUCUCUUCUAAAAACAUUAGCAAGUACUCUAGGCAAUGGCAACGUGAAGAAGCAAUGCUAGCCAGCUCCACCAGUCAACGAAAUUAAGAAAGAUACAUAGAUGUAUAUGAAAUUGAAAGUUUGAUUGAUGAAUGCACGUGCUGGGUCUAACUCAAAUAACAGUGCUAAGUGCUAAGUGCCUCGGAAGCUCGUAAAAUUUGACUUGGUAUAGAAUUAUACUGUUACUUUGAUCAGUAGUUAUUGCCCAUUGGUAUAUAUGGAGCGCGAAAGCGAGAAGCAGAGAAAGAAAAAAAGAAAAAAAGUGGUCCAGCUUAGUCUAUGGCUGACUGACACCCAACAACCGUGUUGAUAAGGAGAGAAAUUUAAUAACACAUUCAUUUUUAAUCUCAAGCUUGAGCAACACAGGGAGAAAGAAACACAUACGGCCACGACAAACUUUAAAAAUCGAACAAAAAAGGAAAUGAACCUGACGGCGAGUUGGGCACGAAGAACUAGUGACAACAAGCUAGUGAUGGAGAAAGCCUGCGACAACGAGUUGAUGACGGGGCCUCCACGAUGGUGAACUGGGCAUGACUCAAGAGUGAGUGAGGUGAGAGUGAAGGCAGAGUGAAAAAUGAGAGUAAUUGAAAUGAUGCUAAGGUUGCUUGGCUUUGAUUGGAACGGUAAUUUCUGACAAAACCUAAUACAUGGGCCAAAAUUUCUAACGAAAAAUAAUCUGUCGAUAACUAAUGCUUUUCUGAUGGAAAUACUUUUCUAACGGAAAUUAUCCCGUGAGAAAAAUUCCAUCGAAAAUUAUGAUUUUUUUUAGUGUAACACGAUGAAGAAAAAUAUAAUUCUUUUCGAAACAAAAAGAAAACCUAAUAACAUUUGACUAAAUGCUUGAAAUAAUUUUUUAUAGUCCUAAGAAGACCAAAAAAAGCUUUCAGGCCCUUCGAUUAUGACAUUGCGCUAUAGUUAGCUCAACACCAAUAAAUAAUCCUUAAGAAAUGUCAAGAAUUUCUGUUAUAACCUCUCUUAUAGGUAAUUAAGGUAAUAUCAAAUGAUAAUGUAACUUAUUGUAAAUAUGAAAGUAACUUGUUCAAUCCUUUCAUAACUUGGACUAUUUUUAAAAUUCCUAAUCAUUAAUCGUUCCAAUUAUAUAAUUCAUGUUAUAUAUUUUAUUUAUAUAUCUGGGAAACUGAAACCACUAAUAAGCAUAAAACAUUUUCAUUGUUCAAUCCGAUAUCAAAUUUUAGUUUUUAAACGAAAGACUCACUACUAAAAAAAAAGGUUUUCUACAUCGCUCAAUUAACAUAAGUUAUUGCAAAAACCGAUGUUAACGAAAGCGCGGUGACAUUUUUGUAAAUAAAUGGAGUUACUUAACAUCGAUUUUAUAAAAACUAAUGUUAACCACUUAAUGUUAACAUCGGUUAUUUAAAUAACCGAUGAUAACAUGAUGUUAAGAUGAAUAUGUUAACAUCGGUUUUGGCAAAACCGAUGUUAACUUCAUAGAGUUAGCAUCGGUUUUGAUAAAACCGAUGUUAAGGAGUUGAACUGAACAUCGAUUUUUUGAGAAACCGAUGUUACCUUGUUGAUGUUAACAUCAGUUUUUAGAAAACCGAUGUUAACAUAUUCAUCUUAACAUCGAUUAUCCUUAAAAAAUUGAUGUUGUUAUGUUAAUAAGUUAAAACGUGUUGAAAUUUCACAACUUGCGCGCUCGAUAACCCUGCACUCUCUCUUCUCUUUCUCCUCCCACCUGAAAUCUGUCGGAAACCGUUCGCUCGACACCCACAUUGCCCCACAUUGAUUUCAAUACUGCCGAAAACCGCUCGUUGGAACCCACAGAACCCCCUAUCGAAGAAAAGUCAAAGAAAACCGUACACUGCUCUUGGAACUGUGGCUCGAGGAAAACCCUACACUCCUCCGCUAGGUACUAGGGUGCUAAAAUAGUCGUGGGUGCUCAAAGCUUUCUACGCUGCCAGUUAACAAGGUAUGAGCUCUACCUUAGUUAUUUGCUCUUCUUAGUAAGUUUUUAAUCAGUGCGGUGGGAUUGUCCGAAGGUUCUUAUCAAAUUAUUCGGUCAUUUUGUCCACUUGGCUAACCAUAUAAAAGUAAGAAUUCUAAUGUGGGGUUUCAUUUUGUUGUGGCAGUUGAUUGUGCUUUACGUGGUUUUCAAGCUUGACGAGAGUUACACGUCGAGCAAAGUUUCCAUCCGUGCCGGUGAUGGUUUUCACAACUUGAAGGUAAAUUUUUAUUUUAUUGGUUUGGGUUUGAUUGGGAUGAUUAUGGUUAAUUAUUUGGUGUUGACUUUGGGAACAUUUUUAGGAGAUUAAGACCGUGGAACUCGUGAAGCCAACUAGGUGGGUUUAUCUAUCCUUGUCUGGAGUUGAUCCUAGGUAAGUACAGUGUUCUUUCUAUUUUGCAAUCUGAGAAUUUGUUUAUUGACUAUUCUGUCAUCGUGUGAUUUUGGUCUCUUUUGCUUAAUUAUGCUCUGUCUGUAGCUGAUUGUGUGUGUUUGUUUUUAAUGGGAGAAACUACAGUAACAAUAGUUUAUUGUAGGGAAUGUGAAGAAACAAAUCCUGCUACUUUAUGAAUUUCCAUUUCAUGAUGUUAGUAUAGUUUGAAACUUUCUAUACGGUUUUGAAAAGUUUUAUGUUGAGGACUUAUACAAUCCUCCUCUUUUAGUCAGGCUUGAGAUCACAGAGUUAAGGUGUAGUGUGUGAUCCAUGUAAUUGAUCUCACCUAGUAGGAAAAAGGUACUGUUGUUAUUAUUGGAAUGAUGAAAUCAGACCUUCUCCCUGCUUUUGAUCAUAUUGUGUUUGGGGCAUUAUCAGUGGCUACUGCCUAAUGAUCUUCUAAAUCCGUGGCUGAAUUCUUCAUGUACGUUGAGGUGACUUUAAGAAUGAGGUUCUUUUCCUAACAAUAGGCUCUUUCUCUGCCCUCUCUAGUGCUGACUUGACCUUGUCAAGGGUGCACAGACUUUUGGUAGUUGUUGCUUGAAGGGAGUGUGGAUGAGACCAAUUUGAGGUCCAAGCUUGUUUCAUCAAAGAGGUGCCUUCUGGAAUGAGGAUCUAUAAUAAUAUUAGAAUAAAAUUGGGCAAAUGAUGCAAUGGCUCUGUUCACGGAUAAAACAUAGAAACAGUUUACUAGGUACUUUUAGUACAUGUUUGGGUUCAAGUUAAAACAUCCAAACCAUGUUCAAAUAGUAGCUAACAUAAUUUUAGGUAAAUAAUCACAUGUUUAGUACUAUGAAUUGAUUUACACAGCACAUGAAUAUUAGUUUGCAUAGGUGUAUUAAAUUUUUUACAGAGCACAUCAUAUUAACUUCAUUUGUUUGAUAACCAUGCUUUUGUGUGAAGACUCGAUGCCAUUGAUGCUAGAAGCCAAAGACACUAAUUGUUUGUCCUACUGCUUCCGGUUUAGGUACUGUAGCUUUUGCUGUCUAAUUAGUUCAUGUUCUUCAUUCAAUAACCUUUUUGGCCUCACACAAAGACACACACACACACACACACAAAUGAAUGAAUUGGGUAAAAAGUUAGGGUAGCACCUGUAAGUCAUUAAAAAAGAUGGUAGAUUCUUGCCUUAGAGGGUUGAGCAUGUGUAAGGAUGAUCUUAUAAGCCUUAGUAAGGAGAGUAGAUCAGAUGGAGGAUAGCCUAGUCACUAGAGGCAGAUGGAGAGUAAGAAAAACCAUAAGCAAAAGAAUUAAACAGAUUUAGAGAUACAAUGGAACAUUAUGGCAUUGUCUGAUUCAUGUAGUGAACUCCACCUAGUGGGAAAAGGCUUGGUUGUUGCUGUUUUAUCAGUCACUGAAUAGAGUUGGUUUUACUAAUUUGGGUCCUUCAGUUAUCCCAAAAUAAGAUAUGUGGCAAUACAAGUACAUUUAGCCACUCCAAAUACAUAAGUUAAAUAUACACAACUGAUGAAGGAAUCAAAUUCCUUCUAUUUCACAUUUAUUUAAAGGUAGGGACAAUACUUCAGCAACCAUAGAGCCCUUAGAUAGAGAUACUGUUUGGAAUUCCUCUGAAAGUCAAUCCCUCCUCACUAGAAGGAUAGAGCAAAGUGUAAGGCAUUUUAGCCGGCCCAUAGCGGUUUCUCAAUGUCUCAUCAUUGUUCUUCUCUAUAAGCUUGUUUUCAAUCUCUUCAAGAUUCUUUCCAAACCUCUUAAAGGCCUCUAAUGGCCCGGCAUCAGAAGUCCAGUAAUCACCACCAUCUCUCUGCCUAAGGUAGAACUCAUCAGAUGCGUGCCUUGAUAAAAUUUCUAUAA